AACGCUAGCUACAGGCUUAACACAUGCAAGUCGCGGGGCAGCAUGUCGGUUGCUUGCAACCGAUGAUGGCGACCGGCGCACGGGUGAGUAACGCGUAUCCAAUCUGCCCUUCACCACGGAAUAAUCCAGUGAAAAUUGGUCUAAUACCGUAUGAGGUCAUACGAUGGCAUCAGAAUAUGACGAAAGGUUUAGCGGUGAAGGAUGGGCAUGCGUUCCAUUAGGUAGUUGGUGAGGUAACGGCUCACCAAGCCGACGAUGGAUAGGGGAACUGAGAGGUUGGUCCCCCACACUGGUACUGAGACACGGACCAGACUCCUACGGGAGGCAGCAGUGAGGAAUAUUGGUCAAUGGGCGAGAGCCUGAACCAGCCAAGUCGCGUGAAGGAAGAAGGAUCUAUGGUUCGUAAACUUCCUUUGCAGGGGAAUAAAGUGCAGGACGUGUCCUGUUUUGUAUGUACCCUGAGAAUAAGGAUCGGCUAACUCCGUGCCAGCAGCCGCGGUAAUACGGAGGAUCCGAGCGUUAUCCGGAUUUAUUGGGUUUAAAGGGAGCGUAGGCGGACGCUUAAGUCAGUUGUGAAAGUUUGCGACUCAACCGUAAAAUUGCAGUUGAUACUGGGUGUCUUGAGUACAGUAGAGGCAGGCGGAAUUCGUGGUGUAGCGGUGAAAUGCUUAGAUAUCACGAAGAACUCCGAUUG
rnacentral:rRNA from 1 species